AAUCUCUGAGACGCUGAAGAAAAUGCAAAAUCCACAGCCCACACAGUCCACUCGGUAAUCAAGAAGACAUGGAAGCCUGGGCGCAGCUCGGAGGACAGGGGCGUACCUCCCCGUAUAUAUGACACAUGGGGGCCCAGUCUUGUCUGAACCUGUUCAUCCCCACAUAUCAAACCAUAUGUCACGGUGAAUGAGUGAGUGUUGUGGAGUUGCGUGUGCGCGUGUGUGUGGGGUAAGCAUUUCAGGGAGGGCAGGUCUUGGGUGAAUGUUGAAUGUGGAGUCACAGAGGGUGUGGUGUGCACCUGUCACCGUCCAUGUGAUACGUGUGUAUCAUGCACAUCACAGUGGGUAGCUGUGUCAGCAGGGACCACAAAGGUGUGUCCCAGUGAGGGUGGGUGUUGGUGACACGUGUUACCCAUGCAUGUUUCACCGUUGGUGUGAAUAUGCAUGAAUGCCCUGCAACAUGUUACAUGUAUGUAUAAACGUGUCAUGGUGGAAUUGGUGGGUGCACCCCGUGGGAAUGUAAUUGCGGGUGUCACGGUGUGUGCCUGUCACUCCCUGUGCCCCGAGAACAGUGUGUGUCCGUGAGAGUGUGCCUGACGGUCACCGAGGGUGCUGGGAGCACGCACACCCGUGUGCCCGUGUUUCUGCACUCACAUUUUGUGGUUCAUGGAAGUAAAGGCCAAGGGAAAACAA